ensembl:lncRNA
CUCAUAUCCCACUUGGUAAAGAAUUCGGGAGCAAUGCAGGAGACCCUGGUUUGAUUCCUGGGUUGGGAAAAUCCACUGGAAAAGGGAUAGGCUACCCACUCCAGUAUACCUGGGCUUCCCUGGUGUUUCAGCUGGGAAAGAAUCCACCUGCAAUGCGGGAGACAUGGGUUCGAUCCCUGGGUUGGGGAUAUCCCCUGGAGAAGGGAAAGGCUACCCAAUCCAGUAUUCUGGCCUGGAGAAUCCCAUGGACUGUCCAUGGGGUCACAAAGAGUGGGACACGACUGAGCGACUUUCGCUUUUACUUUUCAGUGUUUAGGGUUGAGCACCGAGGGUCGCAAGAUGAAUGCCCUCAAGGAACUUACAAGGUUGCUGUGUGAUGCACAAUGGAAUUACUGAAUGGUCAGGAUAGCAUUGGAGGGCACUGGGAGGAUGGAGUAAUUCAUUCCAGUCCCUGGGAACUAGGGAGUCUUCCCAUAACAGUGAGCACAACUCUAUGGGUCUUUUCAUAUUGGAAGCAUCAUAUACACUCUUACUCAUUUCUUGUACUGAAACUGCAGCUCCCUUUCCCUGGAAGAGUUGCUCAAGAACUGGCCAAGCGUUGCAGAAAGGAAUCAAAGGUUGAAGCCAUACAAUUUUGCUAUUUAGAGGAUUCAGCUUAAGGUAACGGUCAAGUUGAAUAAUUCAAGAUCAAAGGGUUUGGGGCUUCCCUGGCGGUACAACAGUUAAGAAUCCACCUGCCAGUGAAGAGGAAAUGAUUUUGAUCCCUGGCCCGGGAAGAUUCCACCUACCACCUGGCAACUAAGCCAAUGCGGAACAACCACUGAUUCUGAUGCUGCAGCUACUGGAGCCUGCGUGCCUACAGUGUGGUCUGCAGCAAGAGAAGCCACCGCAAGAGAAGCCCGUGCUCGGCAAUGAGGAGUAGCCUCUGCUCACUGCAACUAGAGAGAGCCUGCCUGUAGCAGUGAAGACCCAGUGCAACCAAAAAGAAAUAAACAAAUUUUUAAAAAAGAAAAACCA